CGAAAUCCCAAUUGCUCGGGUGCACAUUCCCUCCACGGUCCCAACGCUCGGGGACGCCUGCCCACAGUCCUGCCCUGUUUACAUGCACUUCCUGCUCCGAGGGGCACGUGGCCCCGGCCACCUCCAGUCCGGGCCUCCAGCGCCUCACAGGCCAUUCGGUCCCAGUCCUUGUCAGUGCGUUAAAAAUACCAACUUGCAGUUAUCAGAAUACGAAAGGCUCAGGCGCCCUAACACCGGGCUUCACUUCCCUGCACGGCUCAUUUUUAAGUACCUAGUCCUACCCGGAGCUGCUGCUGCCCGCAGAGGGUGGCCCGGGCCCCCACCCAGUCGUGGGGAAACCAAGGCCUCGAGAGGUGCCCACCGCUUGAGGGGCGCGGAGCGGCUGUUCCGGGGACCGGCGGUCGGAGGGCAGGUCCGCCCACUGCUCGGGCCGGGGGCGCACGGCGUGGCCACCAGGUACCUCACUCUCCCCUGGCGCUCGGUACUUGGUUCUGGCAAAGAGCUACUUUUCACCCAACAAUACAGCGUCCCCGGGGGUCACCCGCGGCGGGGUGAGGGGCGUCCCUGCACCCGGUAAACACACAGCUGCAGGGCGCGUGAACAGGGGCAGCAAUGGCACGUCCCCGUGAGAUGUGAGAACGAGAAGUGGCACCACAUUGGCUGGGCUGCCCGGCUAGCUCGUGGCCCUGGAUAAAAUCAACCUGCAGGAUAAGGAAACAGUGUUCCUCAUUAUUGACAGGCUCAAGAUGCGACUGCUGAAAAAUCUGUGAAACGCGGACCAAGUGUGCCCAUUGACUGUGGUGCCAUUUGCAGCCAGCAAAGCAGCUAAUCGUUGGGAAGAUGCCCAAAAAGUGGUAGUUAUGGAAACCUCGAUAGUAGAGCUACAGAGGGAUUUCUGCAGAGGAUUUUGUAGUAAUGGGCAGCCUCCAAGGAGGAACCCUCACAAUCUGCACCUCCUAACAGUCACAACCCUUGUGUCUGCCCUCCUGAGACUAUACAGGGAGACUGUCUUCUUUCUAAGCAGGAGCACGUGGCCAGAGGGACGGGAUGUCACUUCCAAAACGGUGUUGCCUAUGACUGUAACUUCCAUCUUCCUAGCCUUGCUGCCUCUACUGGAAGCCAGCUGUUAUUUUGUGAGCUGUUAAUGGAGACGUGGCCAGGCCGGAAGGUGUGGAGGUGACCACCAGCACACACACACCCAGGGAGAAACAGGAGCCCUCCAUUCCUGCCGUGGAUCACACGAGCGUGGAAGCAGACCCUCCUGUGGACUCACAGGAGACCGGAGCCCUGGAUGAGAUGUUUGCAGCCUGAAGCAGGGGACUAGGUCACAUUGCACAACUUGCCCGACUCCCAGGGACCUUGAGAUGAUAAAUGUGUGUUGCUUAAGCCUCUGACUUUGGGGCUAAUUUGUUACGCAGUGAGAGACGACUAAUACAAAGUAGAGGCACUCGGUGUACAGGCGCAGGCUUCUGAACUCAAGUUCUGUUAUUCUGCAUGAAAAGAGGAAUGUGAUUGUGUCAUAUUUCGAGGCCUCUUCCCCUCCUAGCACGUUGUGUGGCUCUAGAGAGUUCCCUGGUGUAUUGUCUGCUGGAGCAAAUCUUCCCCAAGGAACAAAGCAUUUUAUUCCUGUGGGGUCUGUGGUGUGGUGCUGGCCCGCCUCACCAGCUUUUCAGGGAGCAUCCCAUAUCCCAAAGCCGAAGGCAGGCACGAGGAUCAAUUGCACCAUCAAUUUAAAAGGACCCCAACGUGAAUCCCGUGAAAUGGCCUCCCCUUGGAUUUUGGUACUGUGUUUACCAAGAGACGCAGAGAUGUAGGUGUCAGUCCUGACCCAGCCUGUGACAACUGGGGACAGUUGUACCUGUGGCACAGUCUGUGCCAGUCCCUCUCACUUCCACGCCCAGGAAGACACAGAUGUCUCGUGAGCAGGAAAAUUGAAUUUGGCAUCUCAUUAACACCCACAGAACCUGGAGCCCACAGUUAUCUGGAAUGAUCAGAUGUCACAAAAACAUGGACAGAAAAUGGGAAGCACGGAUAACCGUGCACAAAACACAAGAAGACCAUGGAGCUGUCCCCAGGAGAGAGAGCAGAAAGCAACUGAAGACAUCAUCUGGGUGGACACGCAAGUCCUGAAGUUGGACACACAGGCGUUUGCAACAUGCCUGACCCUGGCUCAUGCUAACUUGGGCUGCAUGACUUACCUUUAUCAGUUCCCCAGUGUACAAAAUAAUCAACAUUUCUCCCUCAUUGACAGGGGUUCUUUAAGGAUUGAAAUAAAUUAUGUCCAGCCUGACAGUACUGAUGUUUACAUGGUGUUGAUAUAUUUUUAUUUAUCUCUGGGUUGCAUCCAACAUGUGCUAAGUGGAAAUGUUUAUGUCACAUAAAUGUCUCACUUUAGUCCCUUAGAACUAAUUCCAGAAUGUGGACUUUUCUGCCUCUUCAUCUAUAAAGUAAGUAAGCAAAGAGCACAUUACCAUGUUUUUCCUUUCCCUGCAACAUCACACUUCUUCGAAAUGUACUAACAAUACACUUGGUCUUAAACAUUUUUCUCCAAACAACCAAGAGAGAUGUGAAUAGGGGACCCACCACUUAACAAUAAUCACCUUAUUGAUUUUUUUUUCCCCUUGAGCAUUUCUGAAACUUUUGGCAAGAAUCCUGAGGUUGCCGAGGCCAUGUGGGUGCAGGGGUCACCCAAACAGAGCAUCUCAAAGUGAGGCUGUGGGUGCCUGAGUGCGGGGUUUCACAGAGCCCCCUGCAAACAUGUGCAUC